UAGGGAACUCCUGAAUUUGUAACUGCAACAGAAUGUGUGCACUACUUUGAGUGGAGGACCACUGCAGCCUGCAAGAAAGACAUAUUUAAAGCAAAUAAGGAGGUGCCAUGCUAUGUGUUUGAUGAAGAGUUGAGGAAGCAUGAUCUCAAUCCUCUGAUCAAGCUUAGUGGUGCCUACUUGGUGGAUGACUCCGAUCCGGACACUUCUCUAUUCAUCAAUGUUUGUAGAGACAUAGGU
rnacentral:lncRNA from 1 species